CGGCCGAAUCACGUUGAAACACCGAUUCCCAUACGAUCACCGAAGUUAAGCAACGUCGAGCCUGGUGAGCACCCAGAUAGGUGACCACAUGGUAAUACCAGUUGCUGUAAG